rnacentral:misc_RNA from 1 species
UCACAGCUUGCGCCGGCAGUCUCGACAGAGUCCUCGACUCUACUCGUUAGCAACUGUCGAUAGGGGUUGCGCUCGUUAUGGCACUUAAGCCGACACCUCACGGCACGAGCUGACGACAACCAUGCAGCACCUCGCAACCGGCUCCGUAGAGCUGUACCCUUUCGGAUACAUUCCGGUUGCGUUUGAGCCCGGGUAAGGUUCCUCGCGUAUCAUCGAAUUAAACCACAUGUUCCUCCGCUUGUGCGGGCCCCCGUCAAUUCCUUUGAGUUUCACCGUUGCCGGCGUACUCCCCAGGUGGAAUACUUAACGCUUUCGCUGUGCCACUCAAGGCCCAUUUGCCCCGAACAGCUAGUAUUCAUCGUUUACUGCGUGGACUAC